rnacentral:rRNA from 1 species
UAUUGGGCCUAAGCAUCCGUAGCCGGUUCUGCAAGUCUUCCGUUAAAUCCACCUGCUUAACAGAUGGGCUGCGGANGAUACUAUGGAGCUAGGAGGCGGGAGAGGCAAGCGGUACUCAAUGGGUAGGGGUAAAAUCCNUUGAUCCANUGAAGACCACCAGUGGCGAAGGCGGCUUGCCAGAACGCGCUCGACGGUGAGGGAUGAAAGCUGGGGGAGCAAACCGGAUUAGAUACCCCCGUAGUCCA